AAAGGAACGAUCGUUGUGGUAUAUGUAUUUUGCAAGUCUAUAUCACAGUGAUUUUCCUUGU
rnacentral:pre_miRNA from 1 species